CUGACAACUCUUAGCGGUGGAUCACUCGGCUCGUGCGUCGAUGAAGAACGCAGCCAGCUGCGAGAACUAAUGUGAAUUGCAGGACACAUUGAUCAUCGACACUUCGAACGCACAUUGCGGCCCCGGGUCCCUCCCGGGGCUACGCCUGUCUGAGGGUCGCUAU
rnacentral:rRNA from 1 species